UCUGGUGCCGCCGCGGUUGGGGGACACACCCGUUCCCAUCCCGAACACGACGGUUAAGACCUAAGCGGCCGAUGGUACUGCACUGGAGACGGUGUGGGAGAGCAGGUGGCUGCCAGAU
rnacentral:rRNA from 1 species